rnacentral:lncRNA from 1 species
GGCCAGAGGAGAGAUCCCCCUGCUGUUGGGGCAGAGUAUUGCAGACACUCAUCACUCUACAGUCCUUUCUGCCUGCUGUCCCUUUGGGGUAGAUAGAUAUGUUAACUUGAUUUUUAGGUUCACAUUCAUGCCUCCCUGUAUCAUUUUUCUUCUUCUCAUAACUCCCCUGUCAGGGGACCGACAAGCUCCUCUCUUCCAGCUAGCCCCUGUCUAUACGUCUCUACUUUUCCUCUUUUGUUGCCCCAGCCCUGAAACCCACACAUACACGCACACACGCACUCAGUGUAGGAUAAGUAUUGGCUAUGCUUAUGCCCGCCCGAGCUGACUGUGACCUCAGGGCUCUUUGACCUGCUUUGUCUCCUGUGACUUCCUUCCUGUGUCUCCCUUCCUCACAGCUCCACUUCCCUACUCCACUGUCUUGUUUCCUCCACAAAUUACCUGGUCUUUGACCUUUGCCUUCUUGUUCUUGUUCCUCAGUAGCCUGCUGUCACUCAAGAUUAAAUUGUCAGAGAAUGAUUUUCCUCUUGCCUUUUAUGAAUAAAAGUCCCAGUAUGUCUCUUAGUCACACUCUCUGUUCAUAGGCUGUCCUCGUACCUUGCCUAGAUCUCUGGAAUAAACUGAUCCCUCUGCCUUUGCCUCCUUCAAGUUCAUCGAUCCUGUUGGCUGCUAAUUUCCUUGCUUUGGAGUGUGCACUGUUUGCCCCUGACCUGAUCCAGGUCUUCUUCACAUUCCCACAGUUAUGGUGGGCAGAUCCCAUCUGGUCUCCUCAUCCCAAGACUAUCAUGUUGCUCCCUUGGUAUAAUAUUCAGAUUGCUUAGUCUGGUGACCAAGAUUCUGUAGUUGACUUCAGUCACUCUAAACAAAAGCCUCGUGUGUUGUUUGAUUGUUUACCAUUGGUAAGCACAGUGCCAGCCUUGGGGACAGGACAGCUGGAUGACAAUGACUUAAUUUUAUGACAGUGAUUGCCAAAGGGGACCACAUCAAUAGCUGGUAUGUAGCUUGUGCCAGAGAGCAGCAGAGUGUGCAGUGGGGAGCUCAUGUGGGGACAGGACUGUGCGAAAGCACCCGCACCCCGAACUGGCUGGCUCCUGAACCCGCUGGAUGUCAGAUUGACCAACUAGAAAUCUCUCUGACCAUGGUCUAAGGAAGUAUUCUUCCUCUUAGGAAUUCCAACCUUCAGUGAUACAUAGCUAAAUUUAUAUUUAUAAUUUUAUAGUUAGUAAAUUAGUAUUUAUAAUUAGUAAAUAUGGUUCGUGCUAAAUACAUUUUUUGUUUACCUUGGUGACUGGAAAGCUUAUAUUUAACAUUGUUCCCCCAGCCAGGACACUGGCUUGACCUCUGCUCCUUCUGGGGACCUGUGGUACUGCCGUGGCCUGUUAGACCUCGGCUAGGGUCUGUCUGAGUUUCUUCAGGAGCUGGAGUAGGACAUUCUCCAUCUAUCUUUCAGUGUGCUGGUGGCUUGGCCCUGAUGACCUACUGUUUCUUUCUCUUUUCUUCAUUCCCUCUUUUCUUUUUCAUGUAAUGGAACAAUUCUAUUGAGACGUAAUUCUCAUACCAUACAGUCUACCCAUCAAAAGUGUACAGUUCAUAACACUUGGGAGGCCAAGGCAAGAGGGCCAUUACAAGUCUGAGACCAGCCUAGUCUGUGUAGCCAGUUCCAGGCUGGCCAGAGCUACAUCGGGAGAGCCCACCUCAAACCAGCAAAAAGAGCUAGCUACACAGCCCAGUGAUUUUUAAGUAUAUUUGUGUAGGUGUGGCAUGGCGGAGGAGGAACCAGGGCACACCUUCCCCUGGGGUGAUGAGGGUAUCUAGGGACUUGUCACAGUUUCCCACAUUGUCUUGGAUAGUCCUCUUAGAGCUGUUUGUUUCCAGGGUGACUCUGUGGCCAUGGAAGUGAGGACUGCCUACUCCUUCCUGCUAGGGGAUCCCUGGUUAGUGUUUGGGCAUAGUCUGUCCCUGGGCUAGCUGUACCAAGAGCUAAGCUGUUUAUAACCUGCUCUUUUCUCUGGUUACUACUAACUGCAGACAGAGCUAGCUGGUUUUGACAUGGUCUUCU